rnacentral:rRNA from 1 species
UACGAAGGGGGCUAGCGUUGCUCGGAAUUACUGGGCGUAAAGGGAGCGUAGGCGGAUAGUUUAGUCAGAGGUGAAAGCCCAGGGCUCAACCUUGGAAUUGCCUUUGAUACUGGCUAUCUUGAGUAUGGAAGAGGUAUGUGGAACUCCGAGUGUAGAGGUGAAAUUCGUAGAUAUUCGGAAGAACACCAGUGGCGAAGGCGACAUACUGGUCCAUUACUGACGCUGAGGCUCGAAAGCGUGGGGAGCAAACAGGAUUAGAUACCCCCGUAGUCC